CUUAAUUGGGCGUUAAGUUGCAGGGUAUAGACCCGAAACCCGGUGAUCUAGCCAUGGGCAGGUUGAAGGUUGGGUAACACUAACUGGAGGACCGAACCGACUAAUGUUGAAAAAUUAGCGGAUGACCUGUGGCUGGGGGUGAAAGGCCAAUCAAACCGGGAGAUAGCUGGUUCUCCCCGAAAGCUAUUUAGGUAGCGCCUCGUGAAUUCAUCUCCGGGGGUAGAGCACUGUUUCGGCUAGGGGGCCAUCCCGGCUUACCAACCCGAUGCAAACUGCGAAUACCGGAGAAUGUUAUCACGGGAGACACACGGCGGGUGCUAACGUCCGUCGUGAAGAGGGAAACAACCCAGACCGCCAGCUAAGGUCCCAAAGUCAUGGUUAAGUGGGAAACGAUGUGGGAAGGCCCAGACAGCCAGGAUGUUGGCUUAGAAGCAGCCAUCAUUUAAAGAAAGCGUAAUAGCUCACUGGUCGAGUCGGCCUGCGCGGAAGAUGUAACGGGGCUAAACCAUGCACCGAAGCUGCGGCAGCGAACGUAUCACUUAAAGCGAUUCAGCGGGUUACGAUUGACGGAGCGAAGCGACGUCAAAGCGUAUACAAAGUCGAGUCGGUUUAAGGAUACGUUCGUUGGGUAGGGGAGCGUUCUGUAAGCCUGUGAAGGUGUGUCGUGAGGC
rnacentral:rRNA from 1 species